rnacentral:rRNA from 1 species
AGUGAACGCUGGCGGUAGGCCUAACACAUGCAAGUCGAACGGCAGCACAGGAGAGCUUGCUCUCUGGGUGGCGAGUGGCGGACGGGUGAGGAAUACAUCGGAAUCUACUCUGUCGUGGGGGAUAACGUAGGGAAACUUACGCUAAUACCGCAUACGACCUACGGGUGAAAGCAGGGGACCUUCGGGCCUUGCGCGAUUGAAUGAGCCGAUGUCGGAUUAGCUAGUUGGCGGGGUAAAGGCACACCAAGGCGACGAUCCGUAGCUGGUCUGAGAUGAUGAUCAGCCACACUGGAACUGAGACACGGUCCAGACUCCUACGGGAGUCAGCAGUGGGGAAUAUUGGACAAUGGGCGCAAGCCUGAUCCAGCCAUACCGCGUGGGUGAAGAAGGCCUUCGGGUUGUAAAGCCCUUUUGUUGGGAAAGAAAUCCAGCUGGCUAAUACCCGGUUGGGAUGACGGUACCCAAAGAAUAAGCACCGGCUAACUUCGUGCCAGCAGCCGCGGUAA